rnacentral:rRNA from 1 species
UACAGAGGUCCCAAGCGUUGUUCGGAUUCACUGGGCGUAAAGGGUGCGUAGGUGGUGGGGUAAGUCGGAUGUGAAAUCUCCGAGCUCAACUCGGAAAUGGCAUUGGAAACUACCUCGCUGGAGGUUUGGAGGGGGGACUGGAAUUCUCGGUGUAGCAGUGAAAUGCGUAGAUAUCGAGAGGAACACCAGUGGCGAAGGCGAGUCCCUGGACAACACCUGACACUGAGGCACGAAAGCUAGGGGAGCAAACAGG